rnacentral:rRNA from 1 species
UACGUAGGGUGCGAGCGUUAAUCGGAAUUACUGGGCGUAAAGCGUGCGCAGGCGGUUCGUUGUGUCGGCGGUGAAAGCCCCGGGCUCAACCUGGGAAUGGCCGUUGAAACUGGCGAACUGGAGUGUGGCAGAGGGGGGUGGAAUUCCGCGUGUAACAGUGAAAUGCGUAGAGAUGUGGAGGAACACCGAUGGCGAAGGCAGCCCCCUGGGUUAACACUGACGCUCAGGCACGAAAGCGUGGGGAGCAAACAGG